rnacentral:rRNA from 1 species
UACGGGGGGGGCAAGCGUUGUUCGGAAUUACUGGGCGUAAAGGGUUCGUAGGUGGCUGUUAAGUCAGACGUGAAAUCCCUCGGCUCAACCGGGAACUGCGUCUGAGACUGAUGAGCUCGAGUGCAGGAGAGGAACGCGGAAUUCCAGGUGUAGCGGUGAAAUGCGUAGAUAUCGGGAGGAACACCUGUGGCGAAAGCGGCCUCACUGGACCACAACUGACGCUGAGGCGGCGAAA